UACGAAGGGGGCUAGCGUUGUUCGGAAUCACUGGGCGUAAAGGGCGCGUAGGCGGCCAUAUAAGUCGGGGGUGAAAGCCUGUGGCUCAACCACAGAAUUGCCUUCGAUACUGUAUGGCUCGAGACCGGAAGAGGUAAGUGGAACUGCGAGUGUAGAGGUGAAAUUCGUAGAUAUUCGCAAGAACACCAGUGGCGAAGGCGGCUUACUGGUCCGGUUCUGACGCUGAGGCGCGAAAGCCAGGGGAGCAAACGGG
rnacentral:rRNA from 1 species